rnacentral:rRNA from 1 species
GAUGAACGCUGGCGGCGUGCCUAAUACAUGCAAGUCGAGCGAAUGGAUUAAGAGCUUGCUCUUAUGAAGUUAGCGGCGGACGAGUGAGUAACACGUGAGUAACCUGCCCAUAAGACUGGGAUAACUCCGGGAAACCGGGGCUAAUACCGGAUAACAUUUUGAACCGCAUGGGUCGAAAUUGAAAGGCGGCUUCGGCUGUCACUUAUGGAUGGACCCGCGUCGCAUUAGCUAGUUGGUGAGGUAACGGCUCACCAAGGCAACGAUGCGUAGCCGACCUGAGAGGGUGAUCGGCCACACUGGGACUGAGACACGGCCCAGACUCCUACGGGAGGCAGCAGUAGGGAAUCUUCCGCAAUGGACGAAAGUCUGACGGAGCAACGCCGCGUGAGUGAUGAAGGCUUUCGGGUCGUAAAACUCUGUUGUUAGGGAAGAACAAGUGCUAGUUGAAUAAGCUGGCACCUUGACGGUACCUAACCAGAAAGCCACGGCUAACUACGUGCCAGCCGCCGCAGUAA